rnacentral:lncRNA from 1 species
AAAAAAAGAAAUAAAAUAAAGAAGAAUAAUAAAAAGAGAAAUAUGGGUUUCACUGAGAAGCAAGAAGCUUUAGUUAAUAGCUCAUGGGAGUUAUAGUGUUUUGUUCUACAUCAUGUAAGCUUUGAAUUGUUUCUGUGUGUUUGACUUUUUUUUUGUUAAUUGUUGUUUUAUAAGAAAUGAGGUAUACUAAACAAAAUAAUUUUGGUUGAUUUAUUCAAAAUAGUAUAUUAAAAAAAGCACCCGC